AUGGCCAUGGCCCUGCUGGUAUUGAGCCUUCCUCUGAGAGGCAGCUUGUGCCCAAAGUGUGUAUCCUCUGGCUCUUUGACACCGGCGUCAUCCUGGCCACAGGCUCUAGAAAUGUGCUGUACCUGGUCUCUCUGUCAGGCUCUUCACUUGUUGGGGCCUCCCCAAGAGUCCUUGGCACAGUCCUCUGCCUGUUUGGAUGUGAGAGAAGACGUGCAUUCAUCAGGGGUGACUGAAACCGCUGCUAAGGAUUCAGCUCUAAACUGA
rnacentral:lncRNA from 1 species